rnacentral:rRNA from 1 species
UUCGAUUAAGCUCAGAUUGAACGCUGGCGGGAUGCUUUACACAUGCAAGUCGAACGGCAGCACGGACUUCCGGCCCGGUGGCGAUGGCGAACGGCAUGGUCGUAUCGGAACGUGCCUAGUGGGGAUAACUACGCGAAAGCGAAGACACGUAUACGCCCUUCGGGGGAAAGCGGGGACCUUCGGGCCUCGCACUAGCUAGAGGCUUAUUGAUAUCGAUUAGCUAGUUGGGUGGGGUAACGGCUCACCAAGGCGGCGGAUCCGUAGCUGGUCGAGAGGACGACUCAGCCACACUGGGAUCGGGAGACACGGCCCAGACUCCUACGGGAGGCAGCAGGGGAACUUUGGAUUAAAUGGGGGAAACCCUGAUCCAGCCAUCCGCGUGUGCGAUGAAGGCCUUCGGGUUGUAAAGCACUUUGGCAGGCGCGAAAACGGCACGGAUAGCCACUCUCGUGCAACUGACGGUACCUGCAGAAGGCACCGGCUAACUACGUGCCAGCAGCCGCGGUAAUACGCAGGGGUGUUAAAGACCGGAAUUACCGGGCGAAAGCGCGGCGCAGGCGGUUCGGAAAAAGAAAGAUGUGAAAUCCCAGAGCUAAUCCUUUGGAACUGCAUUUAACUACCGAGCGAGUGUGUCAGAGGGAGGUGGAAUUCCGCGUGUAGCAGUGAAAUGCGUAGAUAUGCGGAGGAACACCGAUGGCGAAGGCAGCCUCCUGGGAUAACACUGACGCUCAUGCACGAAAGCGUGGGAGUAAACAGGAGAUUAGAUGCUCCUGGUAGUCCACGCCCCAAACGAUGUCAACUGAUGUUGGGCCUUUCAGCCCGUAGCGCAGCUAACGCGUGAAGUUGUAAUCACUGUAUAUCAGGUCGUAAGAUUGGGAAACCAAAGGAAUUGACGGGGACUCCGCACAAGCGGUGGAUGAUGUGAUUUCAUCUGAUAACGCGAAAACCUUACCUACCCUGACAUGUCUGGAAUCCCGAAGAGAUUUGGGAGUGCUCGCAAGAGAACCGAACACAGGUGCUGCAUGGUGGCUGUCGUCAGCUCGUGUCGUGAGAUGUUGGGUUAAGUCCCGCAACGAGCGGCAACCCUUGUCAUUAGUUGCUACGAAAGGGCACUCCCACGAGACUGCCGGUGACAACCGAGGUUGUGGGGAUGACGUCAAGUCCUCAUGGCCUCGCGGUAGGGCCACACGUCAUACAAUGGUCGGGACAGAGGGCUACAACCCGCGAGGGGGAGCCAAUCCCAGAAACCCGAUCGUAGUCCGGAUCGUAGCCCGGCAACUCGACUGCGUGAAGUCGGAAUCGCUGGUAAUCGCGGACUCAGCAUGUCGGGCAAGAAUAGCGUUCCGGGUCUGUACACACCGCCCGUCACACCAUGGGAGUGGGUUUUACUGAAGUAUGCUACCAACCGUAAGGAGUGGCCAGAUGAUUACCACGGUAGGAUUCAUGACUGGGGUGAAGUUUAACAAGGCAG